UCCCCCCAAACCUCACAUAAAAUAUUUGAACCUUGUAGGCAUACGCACACCUUAAGGCAUUGCUGAAUUCUGCCUAUGAGUAGUAAUCUAAUGACCUAUUUUCCAGAUCUGCAGUAGCUAUAAACAGCCCAGCGUGACCCUCAGCCCCAGAUGUGUAAAAAGCUUUGGAAGCAAUCUCGAUUAGAGGAGCCAUACCUCAUGUGACUGUCAGGUCUGACCAUCUCUCCUCUGAAGCCUAAAAGGAGGGAAGCCCAUAGCUGGAAAGAUGUGAAGAUUCCCAGUGCAAUUUAUGCUGGCAUGGUUUCUUCACAAACAAAGAUAAUCCUUCACUUGAUGUUUCACUUCACUGGCUUGAUCCUGCAAAACUCUGCUUGUCUGAGAAUGAGUUACACAGAGAAAAAGUGCCUAGCAAUCAAAUAGCUUACAGAAAAAAAACACCCUCCUUUUGAAUGGAAACAUGAGGUAACUGAAACUCAAGCACUACCAGAAUGCACUCUGGCUGGCCAGAGAGAAUUGAGCAGGUAAGGGAUGCCAGCACUCA
rnacentral:lncRNA from 1 species